UCGUAACAACCGAGGCGCGAGGGCUGUCGCUGAUCUGAACCCUCAGGUCGUGCACGCUCGAGCGUCCUCGCACAUCCAUCUCACCCCAAUGUGCACCACCGCGUGGGUCUCCCUGGAAGGGGGGGCCCAUGUCUUUUCACACAAACCUCAAAGUAGUGUAGAAUGUAUUUUCUUUUUGCGGUGAUACGCAAUCAAUA
rnacentral:misc_RNA from 1 species